AAUACUCCUUAAGAUAUCAAAAGAAAUACUAGAUUCCUUACUAAAACCUUUAUAUUUUCUCCUUCACUAUACUCCUUUCUUUUUCUUCUUCUCUCACUAGACUACUAUCUUUCUCUCUCUAUCUCUUUAAAUCUUUGAAACAUGGAAGAAUGAAAUUGUGGAGAGGAAGGGAAAGGGAAGGGAAAUUUAUAGAGUUUUGAAAUCAUCAGAUUCACGCCAAGUGGUGAAAUCUGGUGAAGAGAGAGGAGAAAAAGAUGCUCAGCACAAAAAAUGAAGGAGGAGAGCCCCCUCCAUCUGUGCGUGCAUGUGUGCGGAUGGGACAUGCACACUGUGUGCACGUCCCGCGGCU
rnacentral:lncRNA from 1 species